AAAUAAUGCUGGGGUACGAUGCGGAGCGAAAUUUAGUAGCGAAGUAGCUGAUUUCACACUGUCGAGAAAAGUCUCUAUCGAGGUUAAAGGUGCCUGUACCGCAAACCGACACAGGUGGGUGAGGAGAGUAUCCUAAGGCCAGCGAGAGAACUGUUGUUAAGGAACUCGGCAAAAUGACCCCGUAACUUAGGGAGAAGGGGUGCCUUCGAAAGAAGGCCGCAGAGAAUAGGCCCAAGCGGCUGUUUACCAAAAACAUAGGUUUCUGCUAAGUCGCAAGACGAUGUAUAGGAGCUGACGCCUGCCCGGUGCUGGAAGGUUAAGGGGAUCUGUUAGAGCAAUCGAAGCAGUGAACUUAAGCCCCAGUAAACGGCGGCCGUAACAAUAACGGUCCUAAGGUAGCGAAAUUCCUUGUCGGGUAAGUUCCGACCCGCACGAAAGGCGUAACGAUUUGGGCACUGUCUCAACAACAGACUCGGUGAAAUUGUAAUACCGGUGAAGAUGCCGGUUACCUGCGACAGGACGGAAAGACCCCAUGGAGCUUUACUGUAGCUUGACAUUGAGUCUCGGUGCUACAUGUACAGGAUAGGUGGGAGACUAUGAAGCAUGGACGUCAGUCUGUGUGGAGUCAUCCUUGGGAUACCACCCUUGUAGUACUGGGAUUCUAACCAGAGGCCAUGAAUCUGGUCUUGGGACACUGUCAGGUGGACAGUUUGACUGGGGCGGUCGCCUCCAAAAAAGUAACGGAGGCGCUCAAAGGUUCUCUCAGUACGGUCGGAAGUCGUACGAGGAGUGUAAAGGCAAAAGAGAGCUUGAUUGCAAGACAUACAGGUCGAGCAAGGACGAAAGUCGGACUUAGUGAUCCGGUGGUUCCGCAUGGAAGGGCCAUCGCUCAACGGAUAAAAGCUACCCUGGGGAUAACAGGCUGAUCUCCCCCAAGAGUCCACAUCGACGGGGAGGUUUGGCACCUCGAUGUCGGCUCAUCACAUCCUGGGGCUGUAGUAGGUCCCAAGGGUUGGGCUGUUCGCCCAUUAAAGUGGUACGCGAGCUGGGUUCAGAACGUCGUGAGACAGUUCGGUCCCUAUCCGUCGCAGGCGUAGGAAAUUUGAGGAGACCUGUCCUCAGUACGAGAGGACCGGGAUGGACGUACCGCUGGUGUACCAGUUGUUCUGCCAAGGGCAUGGCUGGGUAGCUAAGUACGGAAAGGAUAAGCGCUGAAAGCAUCUAAGCGCGAAGCCCACUUCAAGAUAAGAUUUCCCACCGCAAGGUUAAGAUCCCAGGAAGACUACCUGGUUGAUAGGUCAGAGGUAUAAGUGCAGUAAUGUAUUUAGCUUACUGAUACUAAUAGAUCGAGGACUUGACC
rnacentral:rRNA from 1 species